AGAUACCCCACUAUGCCUAGCCGUAAAAAAUUUAUUUACACUAAUAAGCGCCAGGGAAUUACGAGCGCAAGCUUAAAAUCCAAAGGAUUUGACGGUGUCCCACCCACCUAGAGGAGCCUGUUCUAUAAUCGAUAAUCCUCGAUAUACCCAACCAUUUCUUGCUUUUCAGCCUGUAUACCUCCGUCGUAAGCUUACCAUUUGAAUGUAAAAAAGUAAGUUUAAGGAUCAUUCAUCAACACGUCAGGUCAAGGUGCAGCCAAUGUAAUGGAAAGUAAUGGGCUACAAUUUCUAUAAUAGAACAAACGAAACACUGCAUGAAAAAUUAGUCAUGAAGGCGGAUUUAGUAGUAAAAAAAGAAUAGAGUGCUUUUUUUAACAAGGCUCUGGGAUGUGUACACACCGCCCGU
rnacentral:rRNA from 1 species